rnacentral:rRNA from 1 species
CCGUAACUAUAACGGUCCUAAGGUAGCGAAAUUCCUUGUCGGGUAAGUUCCGACCUGCACGAAUGGCGUAAUGAUGGCCAGGCUGUCUCCACCCGAGACUCAGUGAAAUUGAACUCGCUGUGAAGAUGCAGUGUACCCGCGGCAAGACGGAAAGACCCCGUGAACCUUUACUAUAGCUUGACACUGAACAUUGAGCCUUGAUGUGUAGGAUAGGUGGGAGGCUUUGAAGUGUGGACGCCAGUCUGCAUGGAGCCGACCUUGAAAUACCACCCUUUAAUGUUUGAUGUUCUAACGUAGGCCCCUUAUCGGGGUUGCGGACAGUGUCUGGUGGGUAGUUUGACUGGGGCGGUCUCCUCCUAAAGAGUAACGGAGGAGCACGAAGGUUGGCUAAUCCUGGUCGGACAUCAGGAGGUUAGUGCAAUGGCAUAAGCCAGCUUGACUGCGAGCGUGACGGCGCGAGCAGGUGCGAAAGCAGGUCAUAGUGAUCCGGUGGUUCUGAAUGGAAGGGCCAUCGCUCAACGGAUAAAAGGUACUCCGGGGAUAACAGGCUGAUACCGCCCAAGAGUUCAUAUCGACGGCGGUGUUUGGCACCUCGAUGUCGGCUCAUCACAUCCUGGGGCUGAAGUAGGUCCCAAGGGUAUGGCUGUUCGCCAUUUAAAGUGGUACGCGAGCUGGGUUUAGAACGUCGUGAGACAGUUCGGUCCCUAUCUGCCGUGGGCGCUGGAGAACUGAGGGGGGCUGCUCCUAGUACGAGAGGACCGGAGUGGACGCAUCACUGGUGUUCGGGUUGUCAUGCCAAUGGCACUGCCCGGUAGCUAAAUGCGGAAGAGAUAAGUGCUGAAAGCAUCUAAGCACGAAACUUGCCCCGAGAUGAGUUCUCCCUGACCCUUUAAGGGUCCUGAAGGAACGUUGAAGACGACGACGUUGAUAGGCCGGGUGUGUAAGCGCAGCGAUGCGUUGAGCUAACCGGUACUAAUGAACCGUGAGGCUUAACCUUACAACGCCGAAGGUGUUU